CAUGAUUGGUUAAAAAAAAACAAUAGAAAUUUCUAUUUAACGUAUGACAAUAGGAUAAGACUAUUUAUGUGCCAUCUAAAUACUGAUAUGUCUGAAUUUAUCUGAAGGCGUAAAAUGGCAAAAAAAUAUAUUUACCUUAUUUGGUAUAUAAAUCGCAAAAUCAGCAAGUGCAAAUACAAUUUCGAUUUCAUCCAAUCAAAAAGCACUCGAAAUGAGUAUAAAUUUGCUGCAAAUGCAAAAAUAAAGUCAUAGCUGCUGAUAAAGGUUUCGAACCAGAAAUGGUCAAAUAUCUCAUUGAACAUGGAGGCAAUGUGAACGCUGAAGAUUAACUUUGAAGAACGCUAAUGCACGGUGCUGCUUUGAAGGGUCGCACAGGACUCCUGUGACAGGAGUCACAAAAUUCUGUUCGAAAAUGGGACAAAUAUAAAUGCUGAGGAUCAAUAUAAUCACACGCCACUAGAGGUGCCCACUGAACUGAACCGUUCAUGUUCGUUCGGUUCAUUCGAAUUUGAACCGAAUAUGAACGGCAUGUUUACAUAUUUUGAACAAUUUGAACUAAACGCGAAUGAACAUGAACAGAUUUUUUUUAUUUCGAACGAACCUGAACAAACGAGAACUGUUCAGUUGAAUUCUCGAGACGCCACUUUACUAUGUCAUUAAAAAUGGUCACAAAGAGGCAUUAAAAUAUCUUACUGAACAUGGAGCAGAAAUUUCUGCAUUAUAACAUCAUUUCUGUGUGUAGCAACAUUGUACAAUUGUACAUGGACAUGUAAAACCUAGUGUAAACCUUUUAAAGUUCUGUAAAUUCAUGUUUAUCGUAGUUUUUUUUUAA